rnacentral:rRNA from 1 species
ACGUACACUCCUACGGGAGGCAGCAGUGGGGAAUUUUGGACAAUGGGCGAAAGCCUGAUCCAGCCAUGCCGCGUGCAGGAUGAAGGCCUUCGGGUUGUAAACUGCUUUUGUACGGAACGAAACGGCCUUUUCUAAUAAAGAGGGCUAAUGACGGUACCGUAAGAAUAAGCACCGGCUAACUACGUGCCAGCAGCCGCGGUAAUACGUAGGGUGCAAGCGUUAAUCGGAAUUACUGGGCGUAAAGCGUGCGCAGGCGGUUAUGUAAGACAGUUGUGAAAUCCCCGGGCUCAACCUGGGAACUGCAUCUGUUACUGCAUAGCUAGAGUACGGUAGAGGGGGAUGGAAUGCCGCGUGUAGCAGUGAAAUGCGUAGAUAUGCGGAGGAACACCGAUGGCGAAGGCAAUCCCCUGGACCUGUACUGACGCUCAUGCACGAAAGCGUGGGGAGCAAACAGGAUUAGAAACCCUGGUAGUCCCAUGAU